rnacentral:rRNA from 1 species
GACAGAGGUGCCGAGCGUUAGGCGGAAUCACUGGGCUUAAAGCGUGUGUAGGCGGAUGGGUAAGUACCUUGUGAAAUCCCACGGCUCAACCGUGGAACUGCUCGGUAUACUGCUCGUCUUGAGCCAACUAGGGGCGACCGGAACAAACGGUGGAGCGGUGAAAUGCGUAGAUAUCGUUUGGAACGCCGAUGGGUGAAAACAGGUCGCUGGGGUUGUGCUGACGCUGAGACACGAAAGCCAGGGGAGCGAACGGG